rnacentral:lncRNA from 1 species
ACUCAGCCCGAUUCCAAAAGCCCAGGGGGUGGGCCUCGCCCUUCCUCUCCCUCCAGGUUUAAUUAUCUGAAGAGUCUUGGACUUUCAUUUCUUGUUUUUUGUUUGUUUGCUUGUUUGUUUGCACCUGGUUGAUGUAUAAGUCUUGGACUUUGGGAGACCCAAAAGAGAAAGAAGGUGUUGGCAAUAUCCUUGAAGAGACUAAAAGAUCUCAGAACAACACUGAACAAGCCAGCAGAGCCAUCGACUCACCCCUACAGUCUCCAUAGACAGACUCCAUGAAAGCAUUGGCUAUCGGCUCUCACUGGUUUCUGCCCCAAAUUCACACGCUCCCUCCUAUCACCAAAGCCACCUGCCACCGCUGGCCUCCUGCAUGCUGUGGGAGGAGAGCAGGGCAGACAACGUUGCCUCCCCUGACUCCCAUCGCGCGGGCUUGUGAGUCCAUGGAGUGCAGAUGUCCAGGGAACUAUCUGAUGCAGCGUGAAGGGAAGGUGAUGCAGUGGCAUCCCACCUUGAGAUGAGAGAAAGCUGUUCUGGGCUUCCGGUGAUUGGCAACUGAGGUCACUCCUUUGCCCAUACCCCCUCCCCAAGACUGUUUCCAGUGCCCCAAGUUCACCUCAAGGAUCACUGCACAGCAGAAGUGAGUUUUACUUAGGUUGAGACACUCACAUAUAGGGAAUGCAGAAUAAAUCCCAUCCCUUCCUCAGCCAACAGGGGCAAGGCCCUGAGAAGGAGAACAUCAUGUAGGUACAGGCCAACCCCAGGGGCCUCUCACAGGGCCCUCUUCAUCAUCACUCACCUCUCUAUUCAGCAAACACUCAAUGAGACAACCAUGGACCCUAGGGAUGCAACAGUGAAGGAGACGCAGCCUUUCAACACCUGGCAGGGCAGAGACACUUCAACAGUCAUUGCCAGCCCCAGUGGACAAUGGAAGGAGGCCACCAGCCAAGAAAUGCUGUCAGUGCCUGGAAGCUGGAAAGGCAAUGAAAUGGAUUUUCCCCGGAACCUCCAGGGAGAAUAUAGCACAGCCUCUACCUUGAUUUUCACCCAGUGAGACACAUUUUGGAUUUCUGACCUACAGAAUUGUAAGGCUGCCUGGAUCCCCACAGUUUGUCUGGAAAGCCUCUUGAGAUGGGAUUAUAUGCUCCGAGGAUCCCAGGAGGAAGGAUGGGGCAACAGCAGACUAAACUACGCCUCUGCAGCAGCUGUACCGUUGUCCUGGGAGUGAGCCCCAGCUGUGGCUCAAGGCACACGUGCCUCCAGAGGACAAUCUGGGAUGCUCAGGGGACAGAGAGGCAGAGGGACUAUCAGGGUGAAGCUGUCUUUUUCAUUUCUUUGGCGCUCAGCCCAGGGCCUGGAUUUAUCCUGCACAAAAUGAACAAUGCAGGGCCCUUCAUCUGGGGAAAGGCUAACAGGGGCACCCAAGCGGAGCUAGGAGGUCCAGGUCCUCCAGUGGCAGGGAGGGAGGGAGCUCCUUUCCAGGUGCCUUCUUUCCUAGAUAAAGGAUCUUGGUGACUCAUCUCCCAGUUCAACUGUAAAGGCUAAGGGGCUCCUUGAAGUUUCCUUCCUUAUGAAAAUGUCCAUAGCAAGUUUGUCACUUAGGAAUGUUUUUCAAUGAUGGGAAACAGAAGAGUCAACUAGUAGGAGAUGAAAUAAGUUGAGAUUUUUUUUUAAUAGCAAGAAGUCUGGAUAUUGUCAGUAGCCAGCAUUGGUUUAGGACACAAUAAUAUUGGGAACGAUCUCCUGUAUUUUUCUCGGCCUUUUUCUUAGAGUCAAAAUGUGGAUGCCAUGGCUCAAGGUAUCACAUCCCUAUUCAAGGCAGGAUAUAGGAGGAAGGGAUGGUGCCAGAUACAUCUGUCCCAUUUAUUAAAAAGCAAGCUUCUCCAAAACCC